GAUGAACGCUAGCGGCAGGCCUAAUACAUGCAAGUCGAGGGGCAGCAGGAAUAGCAAUAUUCGCUGGCGACCGGCGCACGGGUGCGUAACACGUAUACAAUCUGCCUUUAACAGGGGGAUAGCCCGGAGAAAUCCGGAUUAAUACCCCAUAACCGUGAUCUUGGCAUCAAGGACACUUAAAAGCUCCGGCGGUUAAAGAUGAGUAUGCGUCUGAUUAGCUAGUUGGUGAAGUAACGGCUCACCAAGGCGACGAUCAGUAGGGGAUCUGAGAGGAUUAACCCCCAAACGGAUACAGAGACACGGAUCCGACUCCUACGGGAGGCAGCAGUAAGGAAUAUUGGACAAUGCCCGCAAGGGUGAUCCAGCCAUGCCGCGUGCAGGACGACGGCCCUAUGGGUUGUAAACUGCUUUUACACCUGAGAAAACCCCACUACGUGUAGUGGGCUGAUAGUAUGGUGAGAAUAAGCAUCGGCUAACUUCGUGCCAGCAGCCGCCGUAA
rnacentral:rRNA from 1 species